AGGCAGUGACGAUGAAAAUUAUACCAUCAAACUAUGAAAGCUAUAAAGCCUGUUGAUGUGAACAAAUCAUUAUUCUCUGAGCCU